rnacentral:rRNA from 1 species
UAUGUGAUCGUCUCUCGCAUAUCAAUAAGCGGAGGAAAAGAAACUAACAAGGAUUCCCCUAGUAACGGCGAGUGAAGCGGGAAGAGCUCAAAUUUGAAAUCUUAAAGGGUUUCCCUUUACGAAUUGUAGUUUAAAGAAGUGUUUUCUGUUGAGGUUUUGGUAAAAGUUCUUUGGAAUAGGACAUCAUAGAGGGUGAGAAUCCCGUAUUUGACCUUUACUUUCAACUUUGUGAUACACUUUCAAAGAGUCGGAUUGUUUGGGAAUGCAGUCCAAAAUGGGUGGUAAAUUUCAUCUAAAGCUAAAUAUUGGCGAGAGACCGAUAGCGAACAAGUACCGUGAGGGAAAGAUGAAAAGAACUUUGAAAAGAGAGUUAAACAGUACGUGAAAUUGUCAAAAGGGAAGCGUUUGACACCAGUGUUGUUUUUCUGAAAAUCAAUUAAAGAACUGUUUAUGCUAAGUUGUUUAGACUUUAUCAGCUAUCUGUUUAGUUUUAGGCUUUUCUUUAAUGCACUUUUCAGUUAACAAGUCAACAUCAAUUUCUUUUGCUGUAAAAAAGCUUGAGGAAGGUGGCUUGAGAUUCGUCUUAAGUGUUUAUAGCCUCUUGCCUAUGCAGUCGGAGAGAUUGAGGUCUGCAGCGUAGAUCCUUCGGGGCUAAAUGCAUUUGUGCUAAGUUAUAGCAUUUUAUAGACAACUUGUCGACUAUGAUUUGUCUUGUAGCUUACUCGCUUAUGUUAUUUUACCUACGCUUAGGAUGUUGAUCUACAGAGCGAGAGUA